rnacentral:rRNA from 1 species
AGCAGCCGCGGUAAUUCCAGCUCCAAUAGCGUAUAUUAAAGUUGUUGCAGUUAAAAAGCUCGUAGUUGAAUUUCGGGAUUAAUAUGCUGGUCGUGCCAUUGGUACGUACUAGUACUAUUGAUUUCUCCCUUCUGAUGAAUCAUGAUGUCAUUAAUUUGAUGUCAUGGGGAAUCAGGACUGUUACUUUGAAAAAAUUAGAGUGUUUAAAGCAGGCUCGCGCUUGAA